GAGUCCCCUUCCUUCCUUACAUAUUUCAUGUGUGUCUCCCAUAGUUGCUUGCUCAAAGAGGAUGGCCUUUUCUUAAUAGAGAAGGAUCAGUCUUUGGAGUCUAUAAUAGUAGAUCUAUUCACCUGCUAGAACCAUCAAUCAAGCUCUCAAAGGACAUUUUAAAUUAUAUCCUAUACACAUGGAUAGGAGUAUUUAU
rnacentral:sRNA from 1 species